AAGAGACUGGUUGUUACUGUAUUUUUGCCCUGCUCAGAGUACAUUCUCUUCUGUCUCUGGUUGUCAUCAGCAAACUAGAUUAUUUGAGGGUUAAAUAUGUUAACCUAGAAAAGUUGUUAUAUUUGAGUUCUCCUCUUAGAUCCAAUCCUUUCUUGUAAUGAUAAAGGCUUUAUUCCCAGGGACCAUGCAUGAUGUUUCUGUAUGCAGAAUGUGGAGCCAAUAGCUUUAUUUUAUCUGUUAGGCAAAUUGCUGCUUUCAUCUCUGUGCUGUGAUGAGAAAACCCGGGAGAGGAAAGGUGACCUUCAGUUUGUAAUGCCCUCCCAGCAUCCUUCAGCACGGCUGCUUCCCACAAUGCACUGGAGGAAGGCCAGGAGCAUCAGGUUAGCUUUACAACAAACACACAGGUCAUGGCAUAAAAUACUGGCCCAUAACUUUAAGCACAACACAAAUAUUUCCAAAUUCAACCCGGUCAGUCACAUAGAAAAGAAAAUCCUAACUGAAAAAUCCUUUCAUUGCCAAUUAUAUAUACCUGUUAAGUUUU